rnacentral:lncRNA from 1 species
GUGGCUGGUUCUCAACUCAUGCCUUCCUUCCCUGGCCACCCAAUUAAAGGCACACGGCCUCUUCCAUUCACUCUCAAUCACAUCGCCCUGUGGCAUUCUCCUAGCAACACUUUUCACAGAAAGAAAGAAAUGCUCUCAUCUCUUUCUUUCUCUCAUUGUUAUUUACAUUCCCUGGCAUGUAAGCUUCUUAAGAGAAAGGCUCUUGUUUGUCUUGUCCCCCCACUGUGCACUGUGGUUCUAGCAGCUAACACAGCAUCUGACUUGGAGUGGCUGCCCAGUACGCAUUUGAAGAAUGAAUGAAUGGAAAGUGAAUGAGCGAAUGGCUGGAGAGUAGAAGACGUGAGGGAUGGGGAAAGAAGAAAGACUGGAGAAGUGGGCAGGUGCCAGGCCUGGAAGACUGUACGUGGUGCUAAGAGGCCCCUGAAGGUAAUGGAAAGCCAAUCAAGGGUUUCUAGGAGGAUGUGAUGAGGAUGCGAUAAGGUAACACUGUGUUAUGUUGUUGGGAAUCAGUGAAGGUGGGAAACCUGGAACCCUGGAGAAAAUGAGUGACAACCAAAUCCUACGUUUGUUUGGUGUUUCCCCAUCAUCCCUCAAAGGGUGUGUAAGAUAGUGAGCCAUGUAGAAUAAGUAAUUAAUUAAUGCUGCGGGUUAAUAAGGGGUAGAUGACUCUCAAUUGCUACAUGCAAGCUGUUAUUUUCUCAUUUAGAAAAAGGAUCUUGUGGCUCACUGUGGAAAAUCAUCUUCCAGAAAAAAGAAAGAGACAUGUAUGUCGGCUCUGUCUAGAAUAUUUUCUCUGAACCAGAAUCUCUUUCCGUAGGGUAGCUGCCCUUGGCAACUCUCGGGUUACAAGAAGCUGGGCAGGAGAUUCCUGUGACAUUUCAGCAGAGUCACGAGUGGGUGGGAUGGGGAAGCUCCGAGCUGCAAAAUAGCUUGCAGUGCCUCGGAGAGGUGGCGCUGGCUAGCCUGGGACUUCCAACAUACAGCCUACAUUGAUGGCCUGAGACUUGUGGCAAAAAAGACUUUCAAAAUCUAAUUUGCUCACAUACAUGAACACCUGCCAGGAAGGAAUUUGAGGCCUUUGUUCUAAACAUGGAAAAGCUGAGUUCAUUUGCCCCAGAGGGGGCACCUGCAGGGAAAAGGAAAAAUGGUUUUAACCCUUUCCUUGAGUCAGAAAAUGAGGCCACCAGAUUCUCCUUUCAUCCUUCAAGUAUCAGAAAGGUCUGUGCUGUGAAUUCCACAGAUGAGAUUCAUUGCAAGAUGUGAGGGCAGAGGAAAUCCAUGGAAAUGAAAUCCACAUUCAAACUGGAUGCAUGCGUUCAGCAACUGGAAGCUGAGUUCAUAUUUCAUUGCCCAACUACCCUGACCACUUGGGAAUCGCAGGUUUGGAAGGACCCACAGCCAUUCUGUGGAAAUGGAUCUGCUUUCAGGACCGAAUCUCAGACUUCUUGGGGAAGGUUUCAGUGGCUGCCUUUGCUGUGCAGACCUGGAGAUGGGUCUGAUGAUCGGACACCUGAAUUAUCUGUGUGGCUGAGUUUCAAGAAGACCUGCUGGGGUGAAAUGAAAAUGGUGCCUACUAGAAGCCCCAGUGGCUUUGCUGGUGGAGAUUUGCUCCUCCACUGGCUCUUCUUGUAGACACACGACUGCUACAGUAUCAAGGGUCUGAUGCAGACAUGACAAUGUCAAGAGGAAGAGGAGAGCCUCGCUCUUCCCAGGCUUUUGCUUUUAAGAGCAGAAAAACUUUCCCCAGAGUUCCACCAGCUCACUUCUCAUCUUACUUCUUUGGCCAGAACUGGCCCUUGUGCCCAUAUUGUCAGUCAAAUGCCGACAAAGGAAAGGGGCCACUAUGAGUGGUUUAGACUUGGAUUGGAUUUGUCCUUAUUGGAUUGUCCUUAAGUCCUUUGAAAAAGAAGUAUACAACAGAAUGAAAUCUUGACUCAGCUUUCAAGAAUAAAGAGGGUGAGAUGACUGAUGGAUGGCUAGCAAAAUCAGAUGUGGGCUCUGUCCUCAUGGAGCAUACAGUCAGAAGGGGAAGAUUUACCUAAUUACACUAACAAACUUAUAACUGUGGUCAGUGUUCUGAAGGAAAGGAAAUCCAGUUGUAUGGUAACGUAUAACAAAGAAACUGAACUAGGAUGGAGAUGGGGGUGGUAAGUGUAGUUGGGGAAGCCAGGGACAUGAUCUGUAAGAUGGCUGGCCUGGAUUCAAAUUCCACUCCACUUACUUGCUGUGUGAUUUUAGAUUAGUCGCUUCUCCUCUCUGAGCUCAACUUCAUCUAUAACAAUCUUUCCUAGGGUUGUUAAAGGAUUGAAUGAGCCACUCUAUGUAACCACUUGACACAUAUUAGGCACUUCAGUGGCUCCUUUUCCAGAUUAAAGAAGGAGAAAACGUGUAUGUUUGGAGUUAGCACAAGACAGGAUGAUUCCUCAUGUUUGUUUUGGAAAACAAGUCUUAAACUCACAGCCAUGACAGAGUCUGACAUCAUCAGACAUCAGGCGUGUUAAGAAUUGCACUCUUAAUUGAAAAUGUCCAGAGUUUGUGAUUAAUUGCAAUCCUUUUCAGAUCCUUUCCCUAAGAAUUUAAUUUUUCUCCCCACCCACCCGGAGGUCAGGCUUUUAAUGUAACAAGUACAAUCAAUCUUCCACUGAAGAUGGCCUCUCUCUAGUGCAAGCUGGAGCAGGACUCAUCUGGAUUAGAAGCCUAGACGGUUUGGAGUCACCUGGUGAGGUUUACGUGCACAGCUGGGGCCCAGCCUACCUAAUUAGGACCAGAGAGUGGUUGAGAAGGGGACCGGCGCGUAUUCUAGGCGCCCUCCUCCAGUGUCUGUUUCUAAUAAUGGCAGAAAGUAGCAGAGGCGGCGGGGUGAGCUUGGAGCGUGGUGACAUCAUCCCUCCAGCUGUUUUACACAUCUGUGACAUGGCUCAUUAGGACUCUCUUAACACCUCAUCCUUCCCUGCUCCACACAGCUCCAGUUGCAUGAGAAAAGGUGCUCUUGCAUGUGAGGGGCCCCAAGACUGGGGCUGACUUCAGGGUCAAAGAUUCGCUUGGGCACUCUACCAGUCAUCAGAAUUUUCACAGAGACACCCCCCCAACACACACACCCGCAGCAUGCGCUCCUUGAAAGUGCUAAUAGCUUCAAUAUGAGGCUGGCACUUCUGCAUGACUGUUGGUGUUCAGGGCCAGCCUAGUCUUGGGGAGUAGGCCAUCUGUAGCAGCUGCAGAAAUGUUUUUGCUUAUUUUGAGCAUUCUAAGUUUUUCCUAGCCAUGAAUAACAACAAUCGAAUAAAUCAUCCCACAGUGUGUAGGAUGGUCGUUUUUUUGUUUUUUUUUUUCAGCAAGAACAACAAAAAAUGACAUAUCAUGUACUAUGGAUAAUACACAUAAAAAAUUCCGCCAUAUUUAUAGGCAGCAGUUAACUAACUAUAUUUAGAUAUUUGAAACUGUCUUAAAUCAGAUGAAUGAUAAAAGCUUCCUGGAUUUCAGUGGAAAGCCUAAAUGACUAAACCAAAAAAAAAAAAAAAAGUUUUAUUACUAUGAAGUAUAGUGCAUAUUCUGAAAUAAAAGAUAUGUGAUAUUUAUAAAAUAAAAAGAGAAACUUUGUCAAUAGACAGCAUCAUUUAAUAAAGCAGGGUCCCAGAUUUACAGACCUUUGUUUGAGUUCUAAAAUUUACUAGGAAGGAGGGUGCAGGGGUGGAAGCCGUUCAUUGUAGCUCUUUAAAUUUCCUCACUUUUGAAUGGAGAUGAUAAAAUGCCCCUCACAGGGUUUUUGAGAGGACUAAAAAUAUAAGGUAUGGAAAGUGUUUAGCAUUGUGCCUAUCACAAAGUUAGUGCUUGAAUAUAUUAGCUAUUGUCAUUAAUACUAUUGCUAUUCUUAUUUCUUCUACAACUGUUAUUGUUGAAAUGCGAAGUCAAAAUGGUACAUUUUUAUCAACUAUUAAGUGCUAUCAUGUUUCAAUUAAUACAUAAUGUUAUUGAUUA